rnacentral:rRNA from 1 species
GACGAACGCUGGCGGCGUGCUUAACACAUGCAAGUCGAACGGAAAGGCCCUGCUUUUGUGGGGUGCUCGAGUGGCGAACGGGUGAGUAACACGUGAGUAACCUGCCCUUGACUUUGGGAUAACUUCAGGAAACUGGGGCUAAUACCGGAUAGGAGCUCCUGCUGCAUGGUGGGGGUUGGAAAGCUUCGGCGGUUGGGGAUGGACUCGCGGCUUAUCAGCUUGUUGGUGGGGUAGUGGCUUACCAAGGCUUUGACGGGUAGCCGGCCUGAGAGGGUGACCGGCCACAUUGGGACUGAGAUACGGCCCAGACUCCUACGGGAGGCAGCAGUGGGGAAUAUUGCACAAUGGGCGGAAGCCUGAUGCAGCAACGCCGCGUGCGGGAUGAAGGCCUUCGGGUUGUAAACCGCUUUCGCCUGUGACGAAGCGUGAGUGACGGUAAUGGGUAAAGAAGCACCGGCUAACUACGUG